UUUUGUCUGGGUUUCUCACUCUCCUUCCAAGUCCAGCCUCAUGAGUGCUCCCUUUUGGCACAGCUCUGGGCAAUGCUCACUAUUGUUAGCGCCUAAGUUGCUCCUUUUUUGUUUGACAGCAUACCCUUGAUCUGCGUGCCAGAGAAGGGGAAUUUAGAAGCAUCCUUUCUCUGUGCAAUUUUCACAGUUGUGUUCCUGGGAGAGUGAAGUUUGGCCCUCGGGGCUGGAAUGGAAGGUACCCGAUCGAUCAGCACCUGAGAUCUCCAUCUGUGUCACUGUCCUCAGCCACAGCUCAGAGGCCACAGGAAGGUGGGUGCCACAGGAAGACUUGCAUAACCUCCUCAGUGAGAUCAUGUAAGGUGGCCACGUCACGGGUGCCUGGGACUGCAGGCUCUGCUGGAUCUGUCUGCAGGAAUUCCUCAGCCUGAAAAUCCUGGCCAUUUGUGGAGCCAGGCUAAGCUGGGAGAAGUUCCCCUUUCACCCCUGGCAGUGGGUGGAAGUCUGCCUUUUGCCUGUGAGCGAGAGGAGCUGGCUCGUGUCUCCUUGGUCCUGAAGAAGCAGGAUUUCAUAUGUCAAAGAGCCACCCUCAGAUGAAGGAAAUUGGAAGUAACUGCUCAGAAGAAGAUGCCCAAGAGUAAGUUGCCAUGGAGAUGGAAAGGCUAAACAUCACUGUACUCCUGACCUUGAAAGAGGCUGAUUUCUCCACAUGACAGCUGAGGUCAUGGGGGCAUGGUGGGAAGAUCAUCCUGCCGGCUCCAACUCUGCCUCUAGCCUAUGGAUAAGUAAAGAAUUACUGCUUUACUACUUUAGGUAGUCCAUUAACCUUCACAAGCCUGAACUUUCAUUCAAAUAAUUGCAAAAUAAGUAUAGGUGGUGAAACCUGAACAGAAUCACUGCUAUUUGUAUGGCCUUUGGAAAGUUUAGGGAUCCAACCCUUAGCGUGGAUCCACUGGUAUUUUAAACAGUGAGGUAUCUUUCUUAGCUUCUUGCUGUAAUUGGAAAAAGCUUAAGCCCAGAAUUACCAGCAAAACCAGAAAAUCAUUCAGUGACUGGCAGACGAAUGUAAAUAAGAUGGUCCUUCAUCAGAGGUGGGGCUUUGUAUUUCAUUGGGGAGAUUACUUCUCUUUUUAAGUUCUUGC
rnacentral:lncRNA from 1 species